GGGAACGACCUGCACCGGCUUGGAUCUCGGGCGCACUGACUGGCUGGCGAGAGGUGGCUGCAGGAGUGGAGCUGUAUAAUGCCCACAUGAUGGACAAAGAAUUAGAAGCUGAGAUCCACCCUUUGAAGCAUGAUGACAGAAAGCCUCGGGGAAGUUUGGAAAACAGAACUGAAAAGGACAGAUCUUUUAAGAAAGCGCCUCAUCACUCUCGGUUUGCCCACUGCCGCACAAUUGUUUUUUUCUUUCUGUUAUUUACCAGCCUUUUUGCGGUAUUCAUCAUUUCAUUCAUCAUCCCAUGUCCAGAUCGGCCUAUAUCAGAAAAAAUGUGGGAAAUAAAUUUUAACACAGCAGUAACCUAUGACUUCAUGGCAUUUAAAGAUAUAAAUGAAGACACCAUUCAAGAUAUUUUUUUUCUUUAUAAAGACAGCAACAGCAGCAGCAGUUUUAACAUAUCCUGCACAGAUGAAGGCUUUUCCUCCCCAUGUGCCUUUCUUGCUGCUGUGUCCGGUGCCAAUGGCAGCCUGCUCUGGGAGAGGCCUGUUGCUCAGGACGUUGCCUACAUGGAGUGUUUUAAUCAACAGAUGAGGAAUGGGCCACCCUCAACCUGCUUCAUUGUGGGGAAACAGAAUUCUUUCCUUGCAGUUGAUUCUUCCAUAGGAGAAAUACUGUGGCAUCUGCCUUGGCACUUUGGAGUUAAUGACUCAAUACUGAGUCCCUUCCUGAAAGUACCUGAUGUGACUGGUGAUGGAAUUCAAGACCUGCUACUUUUCAUCAAAUCGGGGAGCAAGAUUAAAAGUUGCCUCUAUUCAAGCACUACUGGUGACCAAGUUGCUUCCAUAAGCCACCUAAAUCUAGAAGGAGAAGUUGGUUAUAUCAUGCAUAUCACGAACACUGGAGCCUACUACAUUAUUUUUCAUUCUGCAUCUUCCCUCUAUGGAUAUCCUCUGAAGGAUCUUUAUGAGGAAAUGACUGGAGAAAUAAACAUAUUUGAGGAAGAUCCUUACUGGAAGAUAAUGAUUGACAAUGUUACCCACAGAAUGCCUCCUUCUCUCAGCAUGGAAACCAUCCGUUACCUAAUGAAAGUACCUGGAGAUACAGGGGAAGACAUACUCCUUGUGAAAUCAGAUGCAUGUGAGCUGCUUGAUGGGCAGAAACUAAUUUCGAAGUGGACCCUCAACGUAUCUGAAAUUGUGAGAAAACCAGUCCUUGGCUACUACAAACCAGGUGCAACUGCUAUAGUCCUUGAAAAUGGAGCCGGUGUCCAAAGAAAGAUCUUGAUUGUGGAUGCUGCCUCGGGAGCCAUCCUCUGGAGCUACCCCCUGAUCGCAUUUGCAGGGACUCCCAAGUCAGCUACGGUAAAGACAGCUGACCGACGUUCCGCUUUCUUCUUCUGGAGCAGUAGUAACCAGACGGUAUGAAGAGAGACUGUGCUGAACCUGAGCUUUGGAGUUGGAGGACCUGGGUUCAAGUCCCAACUCUGUCUCUUCUUCUGCAAAAUCAAAGGGCUGAUGAUCUUUAAGGAAACUGUUGACUCACGGAAAAACCUGUAUAUGUUCCACCCCACUUUUCCUGAUAUCUUUUUGGAAUUUACCAAUGUUACCAAAAACAUUGUGGCCUUUAAUAUGUUGUUUGAGCAGAACCACCAUGCCUCUUACGUGCUGCUGACUGGGCCCACGAGUCAAGACUGGCCUGGCCUGGUGUCUUUAUCAAAGCAGAAGGUGAAGGAGAAUGUCCUAGAUGCGGAGGUGAUCUGGCUGGGGCAGGCAAGGCCUGAGAAUGAACAGACCAUUAAGGACCGGUUUUAUGAGCUGAGAUACAAGAGGGAAGCAUGAACUCCUCAGCAGACAGUGUCUUCUUUUCCCUGGUUUUUCUUCUUCCUCCCUAAGAAACCAACUGAAGAAAUUAAAAAUGCGAGAAAUCUCUACUUUUCCACAUGUUCUCCAAACUGACUUAUGCAUAGGCCAGAAAUGCAGUUUCCUCCUCUUGUGGAGACAGAAUUCAUCCCAAAUCUUUCUCCAGGUGCCUUGUUCUGAGACUCGAGAGUUUAGAUGACAUUAAAAUGCCAUCCUCUGUGUUCCUUACAAAUAAGGAACAAUUAGGAACCAGAACUUGAGAAGCCUAACUCAUUACACUUUUGAUAGCAUUAAUCCCACUUCCUUGGUGUGUCUUCACUCCUUUGCCCUUGGAAGGGGGAGUGGGGAGGGGAGCCUCACCUUGUGAUUCUUUCUAAGGCAGGCCUGCACAACAUACAGCCUGUAGGCCACUUGUGGCCCACCAAAGGAUUUCUGGCAGCCUGUGAAAAAUGUAGGGUUGCCACCGUGCACUCUUCUGUGCGUUCUGGCAGCUUGCUCAGACUGAGCUCAGAGAAAGCACUGACCUGUAUUGGUGGAGAAAAUUCCAUCUACCUUGUACGAAAUUACAGGUCCACUCCUUGGUCCCUAGGAUUGGUCACAUGACCUGUAGCAGCCAACCACCAUCUGUCUCUACUCUAAGCUGCCCCAAAGAAGUUUAGCUUAUUUUAAUUUUGGCCCCAUCUACUGCCAAUUUGUGCAAGUCUGAUUUAAGGCUUAGUACGAGGACGUGAGUUCUCCAAACAGGUUCUGCCUUGGCCCUCUUUUGUGUUCCCAGCCAUGGACAGAUCUUCUCUAAAGACAGCCUUACUAGGCCUUGCCCAGCCCUCCAGGCUAAGCAUGAGGCCAUGCACUUUACUGUAGGGCCAACUUACUCAUUCUGUUGAGAUUUCCUCCUUGAAGGCAUAUGGGGUUUGGGACUGCUGAGUUAGGCCGAGGGAGGUGUGGGAUGCUUUCUUCAUGAUUUUCCUAUCUCUCUCAAGGAGAGCUGAGUGAGAGAUGCCGACACUUUCAGAAAAUUCUGAAGCAGAUGGUAGUCUACUGUCCGUAUUCCAGCUUUACCUAACUUCUGUGGAAACACUUCAGAUAGUAGCAGCUCUUUGAUUAAGAUCCUCACAUCCAGCUCUAGUGAAUAUAUGUCAACAGAGACACUGCCGGUCUAACCUUUCCUCCUGCUUGCAGCUGCUUAGACUGUACUCCUCUCUAGGCUGCCACUGGACUCUGGGGGUGUCCAGGUGACUGCUGCUUUGGCUUCUCUGCCUCAAAACCUCAUCCACCCCCAAAUCCUAAUUCAGGAAGCUUUCUUUAGCUUGGUCCAGUAGAGAUUUUGGCCUGCAGGAGCCCCUUGGACUCAGUCCCUGGGAGGAGUUGGGCUUCAGACUCUAUGGAGUUUGAAGCUCUAUGGAGCUGUAAUUUGAAAGAGAAAACACUGUUCCCAGCAACUUUCUGAUGAGUAGGAGGUGAUCAGUCCCUGUGUGUGACUACGGAAUGACAUGGGGUAGAUUGCUCACAAAAUUUGGUGGUUUUAAAACCAUACACAUUGGAUACUUGUGCCAUAAACUCCAAAACAUACCCAGCAGAAAUUCUUUACACCAGCAUCAAUAGGAAACAAUGGGUUUCUUGGGUGUUUUACUCUGGCCCUGUUCUCCUUUAUGGAAUCAAAAUGAACUGGACUAAUGGCCUGCUCAAGUCAGAAACAUGAAGUCAAGGCCCUUCUGCUUAACGCCAGACAGCCACACCCCUUUCAGGGGAGGCUUGGGAUGACAACAUUCCGCUGUUGCUUGGUGACUUUAGUGAGAGCGCAGCAGUAGCUUGGCUUCCUUUACUAGAACAUUUAUGUAAAUUUCUGUGUUAGUAGGAGGGCCGUGGACAGCAUUGGACAGCCCUGACUUAGGUAAUGGAGGACUUGCUGUAGUGCCUUAUUGCUCUUAAACCCCUCUCAGGGCAGAUGCAGCUUAGAUGAUGGAGCUUGACCUUUAUAACUUAAUACAAAUCAGUUUGAACCCUGCA